rnacentral:siRNA from 1 species
UAUCUUUUCUGUUUAACAGCCU